rnacentral:rRNA from 1 species
AGAACGAACGCUGGCGGCAUGCCUAACACAUGCAAGUCGAACGAUGCUUUCGGGCAUAGUGGCGCACGGGUGAGUAACGCGUGGGAACCUGCCUUUAGGUUCGGAAUAACUGCGGGAAACUGCAGCUAAUACCGGAUAUUCCGGGUAACCGGGAAAGAUUUAUCGCCUGGAGAGGGGCCCGCGUCGGAUUAGGUAGUUGGUGGGGUAACGGCCUACCAAGCCUACGAUCCGUAGCUGGUCUGAGAGGAUGAUCAGCCACACUGGGACUGAGACACGGCCCAGACUCCUACGGGAGGCAGCAGUGGGGAAUAUUGGACAAUGGGCGCAAGCCUGAUCCAGCAAUGCCGCGUGAGUGAUGAAGGCCUUAGGGUUGUAAAGCUCUUUCGCACGCGACGAUGAUGACGGUAGCGUGAGAGAAGCCCCGGCUAACUUCGCGCCAGCAGCCGC